AUGAACUGGCAGAUUCCGACAGGACAGGACAAGGUUGCAGCAAACACGACGAUAGUCUGGUUCAGGCAUGAGAAACACAAACGAGAAUCUGACAAAGACAGAAGCAGAAACAGAGAGAGAUAUAGAGACCUAAUCAGAGGGAAAAAGGGAACAGGUGGGAAAAGGGGUGAACGAGAAUCCGACAAAGACAGAAGCAGAAACAGAGAGAGAUAUAGAGACCUAAUCAGAGGGAAAAAGGGAACAGGUGGGAAAAGGGGUGAACGAGGUAGUUAGAGAAGACAAGGAACAGCUGGGGGAAAGAGGGGAAGAAAAGGUAACCUAAUACGACCAGCAGAGGGAGACAGGGUGAAGAGAAAGAACAGGAACAAGACACAACAUGACAGAUGAGGCUUAAGAGGUUGAUUUAAUGUAGAACAAAAAUAGUAUAAUGAUGAGUUUGUGUUAUGCCUACUUAUCAGCAUUGGCGCUCAUGUUGCGGGUUGACUAUUUGCAUCGUGUGCCCCUCCCAACCCCUCUUUUUACGCUGCUCCUACUCUCUGUUUAUUAUAUAUGCAUAGUCACUUUAACCAUAUCUACAUGUGCAUACUACCUCAAUCAGCCUGACUAACCGGUGUCUGCAUGUAGCCUCGCUAAUUUUAUAGCCUCGCUACUGUAUAUAGCCUGCCUUUCUACUGUUGUUUUACUUCUUUACCUACCUAUUGUUCACCUAACACCUUUUUUUGCACUAUUGGUUAGAGCCUGUAAGUAAGCAUUUCACUGUAAGGUUCUACACAUGUUGUAUUCGGCGCCCGUGACAAAUAAACUUUGAUUUGAUUUGAUACCAUUCUCUUUUACGUUUUACUUUGAAGAAACAAGCUGUUACAGGACUGUUUUACUUACUGUAACUGUAUUACUAAUCAAAUGUAUUGUAAGGCGAACAAAAACAUGCUAUGUGUUGCAGUAGGCUUUUAGAAUAAUCCCAAACAUAUCCUUGGUCUAUCCAAGUUGAUGAGCGGGAAACAAACGAUGCCAGUCAGCCUGCACAGCCGGCCCAUCCAAACUUCACACAAAAUGAAUGAUCCUCCAGACAAUUAAAUUGACAAUACUCCGAUGAGCGACAAUAUUAGGCCUAUCAAUUGUCAAAGUGUACAUGAAGAGAUGGGCACAUCUUGUAAUCUACCGAUGCAGGAAAAGCAGCAUCACUUUAUCAAAUCCUUCUUCAGAGUCGCACUGCAGGUAAAACAUGUUGAUUUCUAUAUAGUAUCAGAAAUACCAUAUUCUGCCGUUUCUAUGACACUUACCUUUGUCAAAUAACUAUUUUUCCAAGAAUAUCAGUGCUGUCCAUGCACUCAACACAUGACCACUCCCACGGCAGCAUUGCUCUCGCUACUAAGUAAAAACUAGUAACAUAAUAAACUUCAAAUUAAAAUAUGCUAUUCUGUCAUCAGUGGAUGAAUGUUCGAUAGAAACUAGAUAGAAACUGAUAACGGUCCAUGUGACUUCAAUGAACUGAAUGAUGAGGAAGGUGAAGGGGGUGAUUGAAUUUGAUUGAUCUGAAUGAUGAGGAAGGUGAAGAGGGUGAUUGAAUUUG
rnacentral:lncRNA from 13 species